GCAUGAGUGAUGAUGUCCAUUCUUUUGUCGGAUACCCCUUCACUCUCCACUGAGUGAGAUCCUGCGUCUGACAUGU
rnacentral:snoRNA from 1 species